UGAAUCAAUGGCGAGCACCCGUGGUGUCCGAAUCAAGGAUUUUGACUAAACCCUGUAACUGUGAGGUCCAU
rnacentral:snoRNA from 1 species